AUUGAACGCUGGCGGCGUGCCUAAUACAUGCAAGUCGAGCGGACGAACGAAGCUCUUUCCUGUCUUCCGCUACCGGCGGACGAGUGAGUAACACGAGUCUACCCUGCCUAUAAGACUGACGUCACUUCGGGAAACCUGAUCUCAUAUCCGAUCAUAUGUUGAACCGCAUGGUUCAUUAGUCCUAGACCUUUUUGCUGUCCCUUAUAGAUGGAACCGCGCCGCAUUAGCUAGUUGGUAAGGUAACGGCUUACCAAGGCGACGAUGCGUAGCCGACCUGAGAGGGUGAUCGGCCACACUGGAACUGAGACACGGUCCAGACUCCUACGGGAGGCAGCAGUAGGGAAUAUUCGGCAAUGGGCGAAAGCCUGAUGGAGCAACGCCGCGUGAGUGAAGAAGGUCUUCGGAUUGUAAAGCUCUGUUAUUAGGGAAGAACAAAUGUGUAAGUAACUAUGCACGUCUUGACGGUACCAAAUCAGAAAGCCACGGCUAACUACGUG
rnacentral:rRNA from 1 species